rnacentral:rRNA from 1 species
CAGUAGCCGCGGGAAUACGUAGGGUGCGAGCGUUAAUCGGAAUUACUGGGCGUAAAGCGAGCGCAGACGGUUAUUUAAGCAGGAUGUGAAAUCCCCGGGCUUAACCUGGGAACUGCGUUCUGAACUGGAUAGCUAGAGUGUGUCAGAGGGGGGUAGAAUUCCACGUGUAGCAGUGAAAUGCGUAGAGAUGUGGAGGAAUACCGAUGGCGAAGGCAGCCCCCUGGGAUAACACUGACGUACAUGCUCGAAAGCGUGGGUAGCAAACAGGAUUAGAUACCCCGGUAGUCCCUGUCUCUUAUAC